CCUACGGGUGGCAGCAGUAGGGAAUCUUCCGCAAUGGACGCAAGUCUGACGGAGCAACGCCGCGUGAGUGAAGAAGGAUUUCGGUUCGUAAAACUCUGUUGUUAGAGAAGAACAGCGCAUAGAGUAACUGUUAUGCGUGUGACGGUAUCUAACCAGAAAGCCACGGCUAACUACGUGCCAGCAGCCGCGGUAAUACGUAGGUGGCAAGCGUUGUCCGGAUUUAUUGGGCGUAAAGCGAGCGCAGGCGGUCAAUUAAGUCUGAUGUGAAAGCCCCCGGCUCAACCGGGGAGGGUCAUUGGAAACUGGUUGACUUGAGUGCAGAAGAGGAGAGUGGAAUUCCAUGUGUAGCGGUGAAAUGCGUAGAUAUAUGGCGGAACACCAGUGGCGAAGGCGACUCUCUGGUCUGUAACUGACGCUGAGGCUCGAAAGCGUGGGUAGCAAACAGGAUUAGAUACCCGUGUAGUC
rnacentral:rRNA from 1 species